GGAGCUGUGCCUGAGAGCCCAAGGCCACUUUGAUAGAGUGACCAACAGGGGUUAAAAUCCCCUCAGCUCCU
rnacentral:tRNA from 1 species